GCUUAGCCGCAAACUUUUAAUUACACUCACAACGCCAGGGUACUACGAGCAAAGCUUAAAACCCAAGGGACUUGACGGUACCCCAUAUCCCCCUAGAGGAGCCUGUCCUAUAAUCGAUAAUCCCCGUUUAACCUCACCAUUUUUAGCUAUAUCAGUCUGUAUACCUCCGUCGCCAAUUUACCACGUGAGCGUCUAAUAGUAAGUGAAAUGUCUUAUUACUCGACUAUACGUCAGGUCAAGGUGCAGCAAAUAAAGUGGGAAGAGAUGGGCUACACUCUCUAACUUAGAACACACGGAAGACUCGUUAUGAAAAGAGUUUGAAGGCGGAUUUAGUAGUAAGAGGGGCUCAGAGAACCCCUCUUAAACCGGCACUGGGGUGUGUACACACCGCCCGUCACCCUCUUCGCAGCCAUUAAAUAGUGUUUUACAACCCCCAUGCACAGUAGAAGAGGCAAGUCGUAACAUGGUAAGUAUACCGGAAGGUGUGCUUGGAAA
rnacentral:rRNA from 1 species